rnacentral:rRNA from 1 species
UACGUAGGUGGCGAGCGUUGUCCGGAUUUAUUGGGUUUAAAGGGUGCGUAGGCGGUCCUAUAAGUCAGUGGUGAAAUCUCGCAGCUCAACUGUGAGGGUGCCAUUGAUACUGUAGGACUUGAGUGAAUUUGAGGUAGGCGGAAUUGACGGUGUAGCGGUGAAAUGCUUAGAUAUCGUCAAGAACACCGAUAGUGAAGACAGCUUACCAAGCUUCAACUGACGCUGAGGCACGAAAGUGUGGGGAUCAAACAGG